UACGUAGGUGGCAAGCGUUGUCCGGAUUUACUGGGCGUAAAGAGCGCGCAGGCGGUCGUGCAAGUCGAGUGUGAAAGCCCCCGGCUCAACUGGGGAGGGUCACUCGAUACUGAUCGACUUGAAGGCGGGAGAGGGAAGCGGAAUUCCCGGUGUAGUGGUGAAAUGCGUAGAUAUCAUGAGGAAUACCAGAGGCGAAGGCGGCUACCUGGACAAUUGCUGACGCUCAGGCACGAAAGCGUGGGGAGCAAAAGGG
rnacentral:rRNA from 1 species